rnacentral:rRNA from 1 species
AAGCGUUGUUCGGAAUUACUGGGCGUAAAGCGCACGUAGGCGGAUAUUUAAGUCAGGGGUGAAAUCCCGGGGCUCAACCCCGGAACUGCCUUUGAUACUGGGUAUCUCGAGUUCGAGAGAGGUGAGUGGAAUUCCGAGUGUAGAGGUGAAAUGCGUAGAUAUCUGGAGGAACACCGGUGGCGAAGGCGGCAUCCUGGACCAACACUGACACUGAUGAGCGAAAGCCAGGGGAGCAAACGGG